AACGAACGCUGGCGGCAUGCCUAACACAUGCAAGUCGAACGAGACCUUCGGGUCUAGUGGCGCACGGGUGCGUAACGCGUGGGAAUCUGCCCUUGGUUCGGAAUAACAGUUAGAAAUGACUGCUAAUACCGGAUAAUGUCUUCGGACCAAAGAUUUAUCGCCCAGGGAUGAGCCCGCGUAGGAUUAGCUAGUUGGUGAGGUAAAGGCUCACCAAGGCGACGAUCCUUAGCUGGUCUGAGAGGAUGAUUAGCCACACUGGGACUGAGACACGGCCCAGACUCCUACGGGAGGCAGCAGUGGGGAAUAUUGGACAAUGGGCGAAAGCCUGAUCCAGCAAUGCCGCGUGAGUGAUGAAGGCCUUAGGGUUGUAAAGCUCUUUUACCCGGGAUGAUAAUGACAGUACCGGGAGAAUAAGCCCCCGGCUAACUCCGUGCCAGCAGCCGCGGU
rnacentral:rRNA from 1 species